GAUGAACGCUGGCGGCGUGCCUAAUACAUGCAAGUCGAGCGAACAGACGAGGAGCUUGCUCCUCUGACGUUAGCGGCGGACGGGUGAGUAACACGUGGAUAACCUACCUAUAAGACUGGGAUAACUUCGGGAAACCGGAGCUAAUACCGGAUAAUAUAUUGAACCGCAUGGUUCAAUAGUGAAAGACGGUUUUGCUGGCACUUAUAGAUGGAUCCGCGCCGCAUUAGCUAGUUGGGAAGGUAACGGCUUACCAAGGCAACGAUGCGUAGCCGACCUGAGAGGGUGAUCGGCCACACUGGAACUGAGACACGGUCCAGACUCCUACGGGAGGCAGCAGUAGGGAAUCUUCCGCAAUGGGCGAAAGCCUGACGGAGCAACGCCGCGUGAGUGAUGAAGGUCUUCGGAUCGUAAAACUCUGUUAUUAGGGAAGAACAAAUGUGUAAGUAACUAUGCACGUCUUGACGGUACCUAAUCAGAAAGCCACGGCUAACUACGUG
rnacentral:rRNA from 1 species